rnacentral:rRNA from 1 species
AAGCGACGUUCAACCGCAAAACAAGCAGAGGGGGCUUAGUGGUGGGGUGACUGCGUACCUUUUGUAUAAUGGGUCAGCGACUUAUAUUCUGUAGCAAGGUUAACCGUAUAGGGGAGCCGGAGGGAAACCGAGUCUUAAUUGGGCGUUAAGUUGCAGGGUAUAGACCCGAAACCCGGUGAUCUAGCCAUGGGCAGGUUGAAGGUUGGGUAACACUAACUGGAGGACCGAACCGACUAAUGUUGAAAAAUUAGCGGAUGACCUGUGGCUGGGGGUGAAAGGCCAAUCAAACCGGGAGAUAGCUGGUUCUCCCCGAAAGCUAUUUAGGUAGCGCCUCGUGAAUUCAUCUCCGGGGGUAGAGCACUGUUUCGGCUAGGGGGCCAUCCCGGCUUACCAACCCGAUGCAAACUGCGAAUACCGGAGAAUGUUAUCACGGGAGACACACGGCGGGUGCUAACGUCCGUCGUGAAGAGGGAAACAACCCAGACCGCCAGCUAAGGUCCCAAAGUCAUGGUUAAGUGGGAAACGAUGUGGGAAGGCCCAGACAGCCAGGAUGUUGGCUUAGAAGCAGCCAUCAUUUAAAGAAAGCGUAAUAGCUCACUGGUCGAGUCGGCCUGCGCGGAAGAUGUAACGGGGCUAAACCAUGCACCGAAGCUGCGGCAGCGAACGUAUCACUUAAAGCGAUUCAGCGGGUUACGAUUGACGGAGCGAAGCGACGUCAAAGCGUAUACAAAGUCGAGUCGGUUUAAGGAUACGUUCGUUGGGUAGGGGAGCGUUCUGUAAGCCUGCGAAGGUGGCCUGUGAGGGUUGCUGGAGGUAUCAGAAGUGCGAAUGCUGACAUAAGUAACGAUAAAGCGGGUGAAAAGCCCGCUCGCCGGAAGACCAAGGGUUCCUGUCCAACGUUAAUCGGGGCAGGGUGAGUCGACCCCUAAGGCGAGGCCGAAAGGCGUAGUCGAUGGGAAACGGGUUAAUAUUCCCGUACUUGGUGUUACUGCGAAGGGGGGACGGAGAAGGCUAUGUUGGCCGGGCGACGGUUGUCCCGGUUUAAGCGUGUAGGCUGGUUUUCCAGGCAAAUCCGGAAAAUCAAGGCUGAGGCGUGACGACGAGGCACUACGGUGCUGAAGCAACAAAUGCCCUGCUUCCAGGAAAAGCCUCUAAGCAUCAGGUAACACGAAAUCGUACCCCAAACCGACACAGGUGGUCAGGUAGAGAAUACCAAGGCGCUUGAGAGAACUCGGGUGAAGGAACUAGGCAAAAUGGUGCCGUAACUUCGGGAGAAGGCACGCUGACACGUAGGUGAAGUGAUUUACUCAUGGAGCUGAAGUCAGUCGAAGAUACCAGCUGGCUGCAACUGUUUAUUAAAAACACAGCACUGUGCAAACACGAAAGUGGACGUAUACGGUGUGACGCCUGCCCGGUGCCGGAAGGUUAAUUGAUGGGGUCAGCGCAAGCGAAGCUCCUGAUCGAAGCCCCGGUAAACGGCGGCCGUAACUAUAACGGUCCUAAGGUAGCGAAAUUCCUUGUCGGGUAAGUUCCGACCUGCACGAAUGGCGUAAUGAUGGCCAGGCUGUCUCCACCCGAGACUCAGUGAAAUUGAACUCGCUGUGAAGAUGCAGUGUACCCGCGGCAAGACGGAAAGACCCCGUGAACCUUUACUAUAGCUUGACACUGAACAUUGAGCCUUGAUGUGUAGGAUAGGUGGGAGGCUUUGAAGUGUGGACGCCAGUCUGCAUGGAGCCGACCUUGAAAUACCACCCUUUAAUGUUUGAUGUUCUAACGUGGACCCGUAAUCCGGGUUGCGGACAGUGUCUGGUGGGUAGUUUGACUGGGGCGGUCUCCUCCUAAAGAGUAACGGAGGAGCACGAAGGUUGGCUAAUCCUGGUCGGACAUCAGGAGGUUAGUGCAAUGGCAUAAGCCAGCUUGACUGCGAGCGUGACGGCGCGAGCAGGUGCGAAAGCAGGUCAUAGUGAUCCGGUGGUUCUGAAUGGAAGGGCCAUCGCUCAACGGAUAAAAGGUACUCCGGGGAUAACAGGCUGAUACCGCCCAAGAGUUCAUAUCGACGGCGGUGUUUGGCACCUCGAUGUCGGCUCAUCACAUCCUGGGGCUGAAGUAGGUCCCAAGGGUAUGGCUGUUCGCCAUUUAAAGUGGUACGCGAGCUGGGUUUAGAACGUCGUGAGACAGUUCGGUCCCUAUCUGCCGUGGGCGCUGGAGAACUGAGGGGGGCUGCUCCUAGUACGAGAGGACCGGAGUGGACGCAUCACUGGUGUUCGGGUUGUCAUGCCAAUGGCACUGCCCGGUAGCUAAAUGCGGAAGAGAUAAGUGCUGAAAGCAUCUAAGCACGAAACUUGCCCCGAGAUGAGUUCUCCCUGAGACUUAGAGUCUCCUGAAGGAACGUUGAAGACGACGACGUUGAUAGGCCGGGUGUGUAAGCGCAGCGAUGCGUUGAGCUAACCGGUACUAAUGAACCGUGAGGCUUAACCUU